GUGUCAGCCGCCGCGGUAAUACGUAGGGGGCAAGCGUUAUCCGGAUUCAUUGGGCGUAAAGAGCGCGUAGGCGGAUUGUUAAGUCAGAUGUGAAAACUGGGGGCUCAACCCGCAGCCUGCAUCUGAAACUGGCAGUCUUGAGUCUGGUAGAGGAAAGUGGAAUUCCCAGUGUAGCGGUGAAAUGCGCAGAUAUUGGGAGGAACACCAGUGGCGAAGGCGGCUUUCUGGGCCACGACUGACGCUGAGGCGCGAA
rnacentral:rRNA from 1 species